rnacentral:lncRNA from 1 species
UUUUCAGGAGGAAAGCUGCUGAAUUAUUGUUUGAAGAUUUCUCUAGGUUCAAAUAGGGGAAGACAAAGAAAGGCAAAAGGCUCGUGGUUCCCUAACAUUCUCUUUGAACCUGGCCAACUUCUGGACUCAAACUCAGAGAAAUUAUAGCACAGUUUAUUGGCUUAAAAAGGUGCUUCGUUAUUUUGAAAAUCAGGUGAGAUCAUAUUAUAAUUUUAACUAAAGCCUAGAGCCACAGCUGUCUGAUCAAGCCUUGGAAGGUUCUGGAGUUGGUAGAACUGCUUUGAAUGUGGUGCCCUUCU